UUGCACUCCAGCCUGGGUGACACAGUGAAAUUCUGUCCAAAAAAGCAUCAUUUCUCACAGUUCUGGAAGCUGGAAGUCCAAGAUGAAAGUGUGGGCAGAUUAGUUUCUGCUGGGAACACUGCAUCCUCAUGUGGCGGAGGGGAUGGAAGGUCAAGAGGCCUCAGCCAGUUCCCUGCUGCCUUUUUAUGAGGCAUGAAGCCAUUUGCAAGAGUAGGGGGCCCACCUCUUAGUACCACUGCGAUGGCAAUUACAAUGUCAUGUGAAUUCUGGCGGGACACGGUCACACCGUAGCACCAGCACCUGGUGAAUGUGGUUCUCUCCCGUGUCAGAAUUUUGUGAGCUCCACACAGGGUUGCAUCUGUUUUAUUCUCUGAUUGAUUCUAAGCCCCGUGUCCCUGGCAUGGGAUGGCUGCUUGGCAGUGGGGAGUGGAUGAGCCAGUGGUACCCAGGGCUGCCAGGCAGGGCCCUGCAGGGAACAGACCCAAGGACUGACAUGGGGAUGUCUGCUGAAGGGAGUAUUUACCACAAUAAGGGCAGGGCUGGGAGACUGGGCAGCCAGUUUCACCCUCGCACAGGGUACCUGGCAAGACCAGCGGCCGGAGGUGACGUCCUCAGUAAAGAACGGUGGCCACUGGAAACUGCACGGCUGGAAGGGGAAACGCUCGGGCCUCUGGUGGGGACCAGCCUGGGGUGGGGUCGGCCAGGGUCAGCUGCCUUUCCUCCAUGCUGGGACGGAGAUGUUGUGUGCGUGUGACAAAGCAUUUGAUAGCAUGCCAAAAGUUUCCUCCAUUAUGUGUGUGUGAAGUGUUUGACCAGGUCAGAAGUCUUGUUCCAUGCGCGUGUGCUCACACAGAAGCGGAGGGGCCCCGUCGCUCUGCCCUCACGCCACUGAACCGCAGGGGUCUCCCACUCGUCAGGCUCGCGGCUCAGCCGCUAAGUGUGUCAGGUGUGCCUCCUGGGCUCUCCUUCGUGGUCUGUCCUAUGGUGGCACAGGCGGUGGGGUUAGACAGGUACCGGUCAGAUUACGGUGGCACAGGCAGGGGGGUUAGACAGGUACCGGUCAGAUUACGGUGGCACAGGCAGGGGGGUUAGACAGGUACCGGUCAGAUUACGGUGGCACAGGCGGUGGGGUUAGGCAGGUACCGGUCAGAUUACGGUGGCACAGGCAGUGGGGUUAGACAGGUACCGGUCAGAUUACGGUGGCACAGGCAGGGGGGUUAGGCAGGUACCGGUCAGAUUACGGUGGCACAGGUGGUGUGGGGUUAGGCAGGUACCGGUCAGAUUACAUACAGUGGCACAGGCAGGGGGGUUAGACAGGUACUGGUCAGAUUACGGUGGCACAGGCGGUGGGGUUAGGCAGGUACCGGUCAGAUUACGGUGGCACAGGCGGUGGGGUUAGGCAGGUACCGGUCAGAUUACGGUGGCACAGGUGGUGGGGGUUAGACAGGUACCGGUCAGAUGCACGGCUCCCCACACCCCUGCUGUGGCUUUGGCAGUAAGGAGAGGACACACCCACAUCACAAGAGGAGCACAGGCAGGGGUGUUGGUGUUGGGGCAGCCCUCAGGGUCUCCAGACCCCGGCCCCCCUCACACAGCAGCCCAGGAAGGAAGGGCAGAGUCCCAGGUGUCACCCAGGAUCUCCCAGGAGCUGCCCCUUUCUGCAAGUCACGGGACAGGAAUGACAGGUCGGGGGACUGCAGGAAGCUGCCACCUCUGGGGUCAGAACAUGCCCAGGCUGCAGGGGCUCCACUGCGGGGUCUUCGAGAGCCAGACAGCCUGCCUUGUGCUGCACACCUGGCUUUGCUCUGUGCAAAACCCAGCACACGUGAUUUUGUGUGACAUGCCAACAGCCUGGCUCCCUGGACAGGAGGCCUGCCCUGGGGGAGUGGCUGCAGGAGGAGGGUGGGGCGGGCACCCCUGAGUCUGUCCAGCCUCGUCACAGAUGCGUCACCCGCCCUGCAGUCCUGAUUUCAGCUCACUUCAGAGUAAAUCAGAAUAAACCGCACCUGGACUUUCACGAAUGCACGUCGACGCUUUCAGUUCACCCCUUCCUUUGCUAACUUCCUUCCUAUUUUCUUCUAAUGCAAGAGCUUAUUAAUUCAAUAUUUAUCAUUUUGAAUAACUUUUUCCCUUUUUAGUAACAAAAUGUACUCCACUAUUAGUAAAAUAUAUUUACUAUUUUAGUAACAAAAGUAUACUUGCCUAAACAUGUUUAAAAUACAGUGAUGUGAACAAUUCA